UCCGCCGAGGGUGGAGGUCGCACUCUUCCCUCCCAAUUCCUUUCUGCCCACCGCCAAGUGAAACAGAGCCGCACAAAGCCAGAGAUAAACACCACCAAUGGCCAGGAGCGUCUGUGCGAGCCUCUGAGCCCAGCAUCUCCCGAGCGUGAGCACCCUUCUGUCCGUGCUGGAACUGCCCCACACUCAUCAGCUUGCUGGAACAUGCGCUUCGGCCCUUCGGAGGCUAACGCCUCAACGACUCCAGCUCGGAAGCCGCUCCCCUCGGGACUCAAGAGCCGGCCGGUGGCCCCAGGGAAGCGAGAGCUGCAGCGCCCGGGCGGCGGUUGCGCCCGAAAGGCCGGUACGUCCCGGGGCGCCGUUUCCGGGCGGGAUUAGAGCACCUGCCGGCUUCCAUCUCCGCCCGCCCAGGGCGACCCUCAGGCCCGGACGACGCCGAGGGUCUACAGGGAAGUUUCCGGCUAUUCGAGUCUUGCUCAUUCUCCCUCGGCGACCCCUUUCCUUUUGCCCACUGUGACGCUUUUCUUUUUAAAAUCUCCUCCGAAGCGUAACCACAGAUCUUGGGAAACUUUGCAAGAAACUUAGGAAUGCUGUGAAAUCAGAGCCAGCAACUCCAUCUGAGCCUGGGAGCGCCGCGCCCAGCCCGGCACUUCUGCUCCGACCUAGAGUGUCCGGCGGUGGCCAGUGCUGACCACCCGCUGUCAGGCGACCCUGGCACCCGCCCCGGCCCCUGGGCGCCCUCUCGGCAUCCGCCCUGAUUCGCUUUGGGAACGUGCCUGCUGUUGCUCCCCUGGUCUCCAGAUGGCACUAGGCAAACCACCAACUGGGUUACUCAUUAGAAGGAAAUUCCUCUGGAAAACAGACAUCAGAGGCCACCUCUUGUGCAAGCAAUGAAGGAGCUUUCAUGACCUCCAGUCCCCACCUGGCCACUAUACAUCAUAAUUUGCUCCAGUGCAGGGAGCAGAACCUCCAAAAUAGAGGGCACGCUCAUCAUGCCAGCUCAUUCCUUCCUUUACACGGCUGACCACUGAGAAGAUACUGGGUUCUUUGGAAAAUAUAAUUAAAGAGAUUACAAUUUUAAUCAGCUGUUUAAACU